UACGGAGGAUGCGAGCGUUAUCCGGAUUUAUUGGGUUUAAAGGGUGCGUAGGCGGAUCGUUAAGUCAGUGGUCAAAUUGAGGGGCUCAACCCCUUCCCGCCAUUGAAACUGGCGAUCUUGAGUGGAAGGGAAGUAUGCGGAAUGCGUGGUGUAGCGGUGAAAUGCAUAGAUAUCACGCAGAACCCCGAUUGCGAAGGCAGCAUGCCGGCUUCCGACUGACGCUGAAGCACGAAAGCGUGGGGAUCGAACAGG
rnacentral:rRNA from 1 species